GGCGUUCUGCCGAGCAGCGCAGCGCCUCAGCGAAUGGCAGAUGUGUGCGUUUCGGAUCAGUCCUGCCGAUGAACUAAGGACUGCUGUUAAUCAGAAAGGAAAGCGUAAUUACCUACAGAGACGUGUGGCUGGCAAGUGGAAGAAUCCUUCUGUUUGUAGACAACUGCAGUUUCACUCCAGUACCCUGCAUAAAGAGAAGAAAAAAAAGCCAGUUUACAAUCGUGACCUUGGAACUGAGAAGUAGGCAGUAAAAAUGGGCGUGCCUCCCUCUGCUGGCUUCUCCUGUUGCACCUGGAGCCUCUGGCAGGAUUUGAGUCUGCAGGCAUUUACAACAGCACUUGUGUUUCUCUUCAUCUCUUCAGUUGUUGUCCUGAGAAAAUCCUUGCUUUCAGUAUUUAUGUACUCCUCGGACACAAAUCCAGGGUUAAAUUUCUUCUACUCAGUUCUAGCUUCAAGAUAUGUUCUGCUUAUUAGAGUGGAAAACGAAGAUGCUGUUCCAUCACUUCAACAAUAAGGUAGCAGAAAGAAUGCAAUAUGCUAUCAAUUGCACAAUGCUAUAUGAAGGCAGUGCUUUUAAAAACCCACCUCUGUAAUUGUAUCAUACCCCAGAGAGUAAAAUCAGAUCUCUGGGUUGCAUCACUACAAAAGUUACUGCAGGACGCAAGAAAAGUACAGCAUGGGAUUAGGCAGAGGUGUUGGGAAAUAAGGCUAUCUAAUAAUGCAUGGAUAAUUCGUUGUGGAGUAUGAAAAAUGCUGUGGUGAGUCUAUGUGGAAUGACAAGGAAAGGCGAGAACCUGCCUACCGGCUGCAGCUACUCAGCACUGUAAGCCUGUGAGAACAAACGCUCCUGGAACAAAGCCCACAUCUCUCAGUGCUGCAGUGUAUCUUAUCCUGAAUGUAUGCAGAAUACAGCUUUAUAAUCAUAUGCUCCAAAAAGCUGCACCAUACAGAGCUUUUGAAUCUGUAAUAAACCAAACCAUUUAGAGUGGGAGAACAGAUGAUCCACAGCAAUCCAAU
rnacentral:lncRNA from 1 species